rnacentral:ncRNA from 1 species
ACAAAAGCGUUGAAGAGAGAAAGUAAUUCUAUCUUAUUUCCCCAGAGAGUUCCGGUAGCUGAGAAGGAAUGAAUGCAGAUUGAAUGAAACAAGUCUUGGAGCUUCAUACGGAUUCGAAAUCGAUGAUGCUAUGACGGUAGUUCCCGUUACAGAACUAAAGUAUAAGACGAGUGAAAGAAUCACUACUAUAACGCUCUGUACUUGACGAGAUUUCUAUGGCGACAUAGGAAUGAAAUAGGGUGGUACCGCGAAUCAUUCGCCCCUACG